CUUUACUCUAACUUGGCAUUGAUGUGCAUUCUACGUUGCGCAGGAUAGGUGGGAGACUAUGAAGAGGAGGCUUUGGCCUUCUUGGAGUCGUCCUUGAGAUACCACUCUUCGUAGUAUGUACAUCUAACCCGCUUAUGCGGGGACCAUGCUUGGUGGGGAGUUUAACUGGGGCGGUUGCCUCCUAAAAUGUAACGGAGGCGCACAAAGGUAGGCUAGGUCCGGAUGGAAAUCGGACUGGUCGUGUAUUCGCACAAGCCUGCUUGACUGAGAGACCUACAAGUCGAUCAGAGACGAAAGUCGGUGAAAGUGAUCCGGCACUUACACGUGGGUGUGGUGUCGCUCAACGGAUAAAAGUUA
rnacentral:rRNA from 1 species